GACGGAAGGUGCAAGCGUUGCUCGGAAUCACUGGGCGUAAAGGGUGCGUAGGCCGGCCGUGCAAGUCUGGCGUGAAAGCCCCGGGCUCAGCCCGGGAAGUGCGCUCGAAACUGCGCGGCUCGAGUGCCGGAGGGGAGAGUGGGAAUUCCUGGUGUAGCGGUGAAAUGCGUAGAUAUCAGGAGGAAUACCGGUGGCGAAAGCGACUCUCUGGACGGCAACUGACGCUGAGGCACGAAAGACGUGGGGGAGCAAACAGGG
rnacentral:rRNA from 1 species